rnacentral:rRNA from 1 species
AUUGAACGCUGGCGGCAUGCUUUACACAUGCAAGUCGAACGGCAGCGCGGGGGCAACCCUGGCGGCGAGUGGCGAACGGGUGAGUAAUGCAUCGGAACGUAUCCUGUAAUGGGGGAUAACGUAGCGAAAGUUACGCUAAUACCGCAUACGCUCGAGAGAGGAAAGUGGGGGAUCGCAAGACCUCACGUUAUAGGAGCGGCCGAUGUCCGAUUAGCUAGUUGGUGGGGUAAAGGCCUACCAAGGCGACGAUCGGUAGCUGGUCUGAGAGGAUGAUCAGCCACACUGGGACUGAGACACGGCCCAGACUCCUACGGGAGGCAGCAGUGGGGAAUUUUGGACAAUGGGCGAAAGCCUGAUCCAGCCAUGCCGCGUGCGGGAAGAAGGCCUUCGGGUUGUAAACCGCUUUAGUCCGGGAAAAAGGGGUGCGAGGAUAAUACCCUUGUGCUUUGAUGGUACUGGAAGAAUAAGCACCGGCUAACUACGUGCCAGCAGCCGCGGUAAUACGUAGGGUGCGAGCGUUAAUCGGAAUUACUGGGCGUAAAGCGUGCGCAGGCGGUCUUGUAAGACAGUCGUGAAAGCCCCGGGCUUAACCUGGGAACUGCGAUUGUGACUGCAAGGCUAGAGUGUGUCAGAGGGGGGUGGAAUUCCACGUGUAGCAGUGAAAUGCGUAGAGAUGUGGAGGAACACCGAUGGCGAAGGCAGCCCCCUGGGAUAACACUGACGCUCAUGCACGAAAGCGUGGGGAGC